AACUUAUGACCUCCUCCUCUUGGCCCGUGGCUUCGGCCAUGUUGUGACGAGAGGAGUGGCCAUCAUUCUGGAAAGCGUCUCUACCCUUCACUGGGUUGGUUGCGUGAUCCAGAUCAUUUACUGUGAGAAAAACAAAGUGUUCAAAGCAGGCCGUCAGGCUUGUAUGCGUUAGCAUGGAAUAAUAAGAUAGGACUUUGGUUCUAUUUUGUUGGCUUUCAGAACUAAAGUAAUGAUUGAUAGGGAUAGUUGGGGGUGCUAGUAUUUAACGGUCAGCGGUGAAAUGCAUGGACCCGUUAAAGACUAACUUAUGCGAAAGCAUU
rnacentral:rRNA from 1 species